rnacentral:rRNA from 1 species
UACGAAGGGUGCAAACGUUGCUCGGAAUCAUUGGGCGUAAAGCGCACGUAGGCGGCCUCAAAAGUCGGAUGUGAAAUCCCGUGGCUCAACCAUGGACGUGCAUUCGAAACUGCGAGGCUUGAGUAUGGAAGAGGGUCGCGGAAUUCCCGGUGUAGAGGUGAAAUGCGUAGAUAUCGGGAGGAACACCUGUGGCGAAAGCGGCUCACUGGACCACAACUGACGCUGAGGCGCGAAAGCUAGGGGAGCAAACGGG